rnacentral:antisense_RNA from 1 species
CUUGACCGACCCGAGGAGGAGGGGACGGCCGUGUUCGCGGUGCUGUCCGUAUGUCGCCAGCAGCGCCUGCGCCUC